UAGGGAAUCUUCGGCAAUGGACGAAAGUCUGCCGAGCAACGCCGCGUGAGUGAAGAAGGUUUUCGGAUCGUAAAGCUCUGUUGUUAAAGAAGAACACGUAUGAGAGUAACUGUUCAUACGUUGACGGUAACUACCCAGAAAGGGACGGCUAACUACGUGCCGG
rnacentral:rRNA from 1 species